rnacentral:rRNA from 1 species
AUUGAACGCUGGCGGCAGGCCUAACACAUGCAAGUCGAGCGGAGCGGCGGACGGGUGAGUAAUGCCUAGGAAUCUGACUGGUCGUGGUGGAUAAGGUCAGCAAACGGGCGCUAAUACAGCAUCCUAUUAGACAAGGCUGGGUCGGAUUAGCUCGUUGGUGGGGUAGAGGGCUACCAGGGCGACGAUCCGUAGCGGGUCUGAGAGGAUGAUCAGGCACACUGGAACUGAGACACGGUCCAGACGCCUACGGGAGGCAGCAGUGGGGAAUAGUGGACUAUGGGAGAAAGCCUGAUACAGCGAUGCAGCGUGUGUGAAGAAGGGCUUCGGGUUGUAAAGCACUUUAAGUUGGGAGGCGUUACGAGCAGAAUAAGCACCGGCUAACUACGUGCCAGCAGCCGCGGUAAUUC